UACAGAGGGUGCGAGCGUUGUCCGGAAUCACUGGGCGUAAAGGGCGCGUAGGCGGCUCGGUAAGCGUGCGGUGAAAGCCCGGGGCUCAACCCCGGGUCGGCCGUGCGAACUGCAGAGCUGGAGCACUGUAGAGGCAGGUGGAAUUCCGGGUGUAGCGGUGGAAUGCGUAGAGAUCCGGAGGAACACCAGUGGCGAAGGCGGCCCCCUGGGCCGCGCCUGACGCUGAGACGCGAAAGCGCGGGGAGCGAACGGG
rnacentral:rRNA from 1 species